rnacentral:rRNA from 1 species
CCUACGGGCGGCAGCAGGAGGGAAUAUUGCUCAAUGGGGGAAACCCUGAAGCAGCAAAGCCGCGUGGAGGAUGAAGGUGUGCGGAGUGGAAAAUCCUGUUGGUAGAGAAGAAAAUGACGGUAUCUAACGAAUAAGGACCGGCUAACUCCGUGACAGCAGCCGCGGUAAUACGGAGGGGGCAAGCGUUAGGCGGAAGCACUGGGCGUAAAGAGCGCGUAGGCGGGAUAGCAAGUCAGAUGUGAAAUCCUAUGGCUUAACCCUAGAACUGCAUUUGAAACUGUUAUUCUAGAGGUUGGGAGAGGUAUGUGGAAUUCUUGGUGUAGCGGUCCAAUCCGUAGAGAUCACGCGUCAUUCUCAUUGCGACGGCGCCCUGCUAGAUCAUAACUGACGUUGAUGCGCGACAGCGUGGGUAGCAAACCGGAUUAGCUCCCCCUGUAGUC